GACGAACGCUGGCGGCGUGCUUAACACAUGCAAGUCGAGCGGGUAAGGCCCUUCGGGGUACGACGAGCGGCGAACGGGUGAGUAACACGUGGGUGACCUGCCUCUAGCUCUGGGAUAAAGCCUGGGAAACUGGGUCUAAUACCGGAUAUGACUCCACGGCGCAUGUUGUGGGGUGGAAAGCCUUGUGUGGCUAGAGAUGGGCCCGCGGCC
rnacentral:rRNA from 1 species